GAUGAACGCUCGCGAUAGGCUUAACACAUGCAAGUCGAGGGGCAGCACAAGGUAGCUUGCUAUCUGGGUGGCGACCGGCGCACGGGUGCGUAACGCGUAUGCAACUUGCCCUAUACAGGAGGAUAACCCGUCGAAAGACGGACUAAUACUGCGUAUGCUCACAACUUGGCAUCAAGUGGUGAGGAAAGAAAUUCGGUAUAGGAUAGGCAUGCGUCCCAUUAGCUUGUUGGUGAGGUAACGGCUCACCAAGGCAACGAUGGGUAAGGGAACUGAGAGGUUUAUCCCCCACACUGGUACUGAGACACGGACCAGACUCCUACGGGAGGCAGCAGUGAGGAAUAUUGGUCAACGGGCGCGAGCCUGAACCAGCCAAGUCGCGUGAAGGAUGACUGUCUUAUGGAUUGUAAACUUCUUUUAGACGGGAAUAACAAGAGUCACGUGUGACUCCCUGCAUGUACCGGAUGAAUAAGCAUCGGCUAACUCCGUG
rnacentral:rRNA from 1 species